AGACCAGGGAAGACCAGGGGGGCGUGGAUGUGUCUGCACACUUUCGCCCCCCGAGGAGCCAGGACACAGACCUGGCUGCGGCCUGCGCUGACCACAGAGAUGAGGACGGUGCCCCAGGGACAGUGCACCCUGAGAUGGGUGGAGCCUGAGUCCCGAACAACCCGUCUCUUCAGAUCUGAAGCUGUAAGGAGAGCUCCGUGGACUCGACCAUGUGCCCUGACCGCAGGAAAGUCACCUCCCCAUCAGAAGCUCCCAGAGGUAAAGGGGGCCCUGGGUGUCGAGGCCGGGCGUACGGGACAAGCAGCAGGUCCCCUCUAGGCAGCUGCCCUCCUGGGACCCCAAUCCUGCCUGGGCUGGGGGACCACGGUCCCGGGGAGGUGGCCCCGACAGCAGCGGCCAGACCCCUGCGGCCCUGAGUGAGGUAGAGGAACACAGAGGUCAGUGGGAGUGGGUCGUUGCGUCCCCGCCGCAGGUCCCGGGACGGGGUGAAGCGGCAGCCUCAGCGCGUCGAGAGGAACAUGUAGACAGAGCCCCCGACCGCUUCUGGGGCUGAAAGCAAGUCGCUGCAGGUACUUGCUGAAAAGAUGGAUCACAGGAGAAGGAGUGCGGUUCCUGCUCACGGGGACAGACAGAGUGAGGACAGAGGGGUCCCGGGAACCAGAGGCGAGAGAGAGGGAAGGGGCAGGGGCUGCCACGGCAGGCAGGGAGGUGACAGGCCUCAGGGUGAGGGUCCAGUGGGCCGGUCCAGGGAGGAGGGUUGAGGAUGUGCGCUGGGGUGGGCUUGUCAUUUCCGCUGAGCUGCCCCCCGAACAUUCUCUGGGCUUCAAGCCACCAAGGCCUCCCACGUGUCACACGGGGGCCGCUGAAAAGCCCAGGGGCUCCUCUGCUUCCCGCGUGACUUUGGUUUAUAGAACGGACGAUUCGGCCUCGUGCAAAACGCACAUCUGAGGCCUGUGAAGAACCUGGCACGUUUGCACAACGUACGCCGUACACGCAGACGCCUCCGAAGAACGCUGGCGACAACACACGGACUGAUGACCCAGCGGUGAACCACCUGGGUUUCUCGCGUCAGAACACGGCACCACGGCUGUCCGCGAGGCAGAUCUUGAGAGAGCUCUUUAGACAGAGCUUUCCUCCUGCCCCGCAGCCAACCUCCCUCCUGCUCCCCUCGCCUCCCUAACGCUGGGACUCCUUCAUCACCCACCCGCUUCCCCUUUUGUCGUGACGGCCGUCCAGUUUCCAUCAGACCCGCAGGGAGAACAAAAAUAAUUCAUC